CACCGGCGGCUCGAGUGGUGGCCACUUUUAUUGGGUCUAAAGCGUCCGUAGCCGGCUUGGCAAGUCCCCUGGGAAAUCUGGCGGCUUAACCGUCAGGCGUCCAGAGGAUACUGCCAGGCUUGGGACCGGGAGAGGUGAGAGGUACCUCAGGGGUAGGGGUGAAAUCUUGUGAUCCCUGAGGGGCCACCAGUGGCGAAGGCGUCUCACUAGAACGGGUCCGACGGUCAGGGACGAAAGCUGGGGGCACGAACCGG
rnacentral:rRNA from 1 species